GUCAAUAUUUGUUUUAUAUUACGUUUUUUCCACUAUUUUUAAAAACGAUAUCGAUUUAAACCUCUUUUGUUAAAGAAAAUUUCUUAAUUUAUUCGUCUUUUUUUAUAACAGAUUCUGUCCCUUUUAAAAAUAAAAAUACAAUUUUCUCCAACAAAACAGGAAAUUGCAACCACAUACGCCAAUCCCAUUACUAUCCAAAUCAACUUUAGGUCUUCAACUUUCAUCGGUCUUAAUUUUGGAUCAAAUCCAAAAUUGAUAUUUUUAAUCCUUCGAACAUUAAUUAAUUCAUAAAAAGCUUUCUUCAUCCAAAAAUCCAAUAAUCCACUUGAUUGUGUUGCCAAGAUAUGAGAAUUUAAAGUUUUCUUAUAAAUAGAAUUUUCAUUUAUAGAAAAAGCUGCUAAAAAAUUAUCCCACAAAGUUAAUUCCUUGGACAAACGAAAUAAUUCUUUACCAAGAAAUUUUUGUUGAUUUUUAUAAAUAUUCCAUUUUGAUUCGGAAAUUGUGAAGGCAUAGCUUGUAUCCAAAGAAUUUAGAAAGCUUGUAAAAGUCUUAAAGUUUGUUUCACCAAUAAAUAUAUUUGAAUA